rnacentral:tRNA from 1 species
GAGGGUAUAGCUCAGUGGCAGAGCACAGGCUUAGCAUGCACGAGGUCCUGGGUUCAAUCCCCGGUACCUCCA